ACCCUGGUCACAAGGGGAGAAACACUAAAAUGAAGUGACACAGAAAAGGUCAGCCUGGCCCCUGAGCAUGGGUGACAGGCACAUUUGUGAAACUACAUUUUU
ensembl:snRNA U6 U6 spliceosomal RNA